GAAGAGUAAGCUGAAGUGUGUGUCGUGUCGUGUCCGAGAAGCUCGUUCGGUAAAGUUGCUUUAAGAGAACUAAAUCGGAGUUUUGGUCGGACAGAGGACAACACUGUAUUGUGGACUGUAAGUGUUUUACAGUUGAAGAUUGCGUUUUGACGAUCGGUUCACGAGAAGCUCAGCUGUUGCUGGAAUGACGCAGUAACUUUAUGCUGGCUGCAGGCACACUUUAAAGUGCUUAAUAUUCUUUUAAUUGCAGUGACACAGCAUUGACGAAGAGUAUUACUCUUGAGAUUGAUGUACUACUCCUAGCAGCCCCUUCCUCAAUCAAGUCGAUAUGUCUCUUCCUGAGACCUUGAGCAAAACUGACAAUUCAAGAACUUUCAGACUGCAGACAAGAGCCAUCGACCAUCGUUCCAGGAAACUUCCACCUACAGUAAGCAGAUGCUGAGGCCCAGAUUUCCCUGCGAAGCACUCCAAGGCUCAUCAUGCUCGGAGAGUCCAUUCUGAGGGCAAAAAAUGGAUGCUUUCCAUCGAGGGCAGAGUUCUCCUCCAAUUGAGUGACCGUUGUGAUUUCACUUCUGCUCCAGCCUUUUUGCGUCAUACUAUGUAUAAGGCAGCCACUACAUUGGGAUUUAUCCAGAGGGUAGAGUCCAGCCCAGGAAGUCAACUAGUUCAUAUCGGGUGUGCCUCAUAAGCCUUGAAAAGUGAAGCCUCUGGCUCUUUGAUCGCCCCCCGGUGGCUGGCUGCAGUACAAGUCAUAAACCCCGCCCUCUCCAUUGAAACGAAUGGGACUCUACUCUAAAUAAAAAAAAUAUUUACACUUCCAAUAAAAGUUUCCGAAAGAUGGUUUUGGUCCUUUCAAGUAGUUGUUAUCACGCUGAUAUAUGUUCAAGUGUUCAUUAUUGUGUGUGUAAUUCAUUUUAGCUAGUAAUUUAAUGCUAUAGAAACGGGGCGUGUCGUUAUGAUUGGCGUGGUUUAAUUGGUCGCGCGAACGGUUGGGCGGAAGUUUGAUACCACGGCUCUGCCUCUGGCUCCACAGACGAUUCCUUCUGCGCAUGCCUUGGCUCCAAACUGACGUUUUUACGUAACAUGGCUGCGACCGUGGUCGGACAUUUUUGGAUUCAAUUCAUUACAAUGGUGGGAGGCGACGUCACGUCGUCCAUCUUUUUUUUACAGUCUAUGGUUCAUGUCCAGAUUUAAAAGAAUAAUAGUUCUGAAAAAAAGGUCUUGGAGAAAAACAAUAUUCAGAUUUGAAAUCCUGCUGUAAAUGUGAAUCAUUUAAUUUUUAUGCAUUUGUAAUUUACCAGAAACAUUUUAAAAAAUAUUGAUUGUUUUGUGUGUUCAGAAAAAAAGUGUUUUUGUAUGUUCAGAAAAGUGUUGAAAUUAAAUGAAA